CGAUACGGGACUCAUCCGAGGCCCCGUAAUCGGAAUGAGUACACUCUAAACCCUUUAACGAGGAUCAAUUGGAGGGCAAGUCUGGUGCCAGCAGCCGCGGUAACACCAGCUCCAAUAGCGUAUAUUAAAGUUGUUGCGGUUAAAAAGCUCGUAGUCGAAUUUGUGUCCCGCGCCGCUGGUUCAUCGCUCGCGGUGUUAACUGGCGUGUUCGCGGGACGUCCUGCCGGUGGGCUUAGCUCUCGGGCGGCCCAAUCUCAAUCCCACCGCGGUGCUCUUUACUGAGUGUCGAGGUGGGCCGGCACGUUUACUUUGAACAAAUUAGAGUGCUUAAAGCAGGCUAGAUAUUCGCCUGAAUACUGUGUGCAUGGAAUAAUGAAAUAGGACCUCGGUUCUAUUUUGUUGGUUUUCGGAACCCCGAGGUAAUGAUUAAUAGGAACGGAUGGGGGCAUUCGUAUUGCGACGUUAGAGGUGAAAUUCUUGGAUCGUCGCAAGACGGACAGAAGCGAAAGCAUUUGCCAAAAACGUUUUCAUUGAUCAAGAACGAAAGUUAGAGGUUCGAAGGCGAUCAGAUACCGCCCUAGUUCUAACCAUAAACGAUGCCAGCUAGCGAUCCGCCGACGUUCCUCCGAUGACUCGGCGGGCAGCUUCCGGGAAACCAAAGCUUUUGGGAUCCGGGGGAAGUAUGGUUGCAAAGCUGAAACUUAAAGGAAUUGACGGAAGGGCACCACCAGGAGUGGAGCCUGCGGCUUAAUUUGACUCAACACGGGAAACCUCACCAGGCCCGGACACCGGAAGGAUUGACAGAUUGAGAG
rnacentral:rRNA from 1 species